rnacentral:tRNA from 1 species
GAUGUGGUAGCCAAGUGGUAAGGCAUUUGUCCGCAAGACAAACAUCGUAGGUUCAAUUCCUACCCACAUCU